rnacentral:lncRNA from 1 species
GAGUAAAAAUAAAGCAGAAUAAACCCAUUGUUGAACCUUAAUUUGUAUUGAUGUGUUGGAGUAGUUGAUGUCUCAUUAGUAUAUGCAGUUCUUGAUUUAAACUUCAAUUUUCUGUCUUCAGCAAUUUAGCAUGUGGUAUCUUCAUCUUUGUCAAGCUUAUCUGUGAACACAUCACACACACACAACAUCUUUAUAGCAG